rnacentral:rRNA from 1 species
UCAGACAGCCAGGAUGUUGGCUUAGAAGCAGCCAUCAUUUAAAGAAAGCGUAAUAGCUCACUGGUCGAGUCGGCCUGCGCGGAAGAUUUAACGGGGCUAAGCUAUACACCGAAGCUGCGGCAAUAUGAACUUGUUCAUAUUGGGUAGGGGAGCGUUCUGUAAGCCGUUGAAGGUGCAUUGUAAAGUGUGCUGGAGGUAUCAGAAGUGCGAAUGCUGACAUGAGUAACGAUAAAGGGAGUGAAAAACUCCCUCGCCGGAAGAUCAAGGGUUCCUGUCCAACGUUAAUCGGGGCAGGGUAAGUCGACCCCUAAGGCGAGGCCGAAAGGCGUAGUCGAUGGGAAACGGGUUAAUAUUCCCGUACUUCUUAUAAUUGCGAUGGAGGGACGGAGAAGGCUAGGUGAGCCUGGCGACGGUUGUCCAGGUCCAAGUAUGUAGGCUGAUGGUUUAGGCAAAUCCGGACCAUCUUAAGGCUGAGAUACGAUGUCGAGCUACUACGGUAGUGAAGUCAUUGAUGCCAUGCUUCCGGGAAAAGCUUCUAAGCUUCAGAUUAUAAGAAAUCGUACCCCAAACCGACACAGGUGAUCAGG